UACGUAGGGUGCGAGCGUUGUCCGGAAUUAUUGGGCGUAAAGGGCUCGUAGGCGGUCUGUCGCGUCGGGAGUGAAAACUCAGGGCUUAACCCUGAGCCUGCUUCCGAUACGGGCAGACUAGAGGUAUGCAGGGGAGAACGGAAUUCCUGGUGUAGCGGUGGAAUGCGCAGAUAUCAGGAGGAACACCGGUGGCGAAGGCGGUUCUCUGGGCAUUACCUGACGCUGAGGCACGAAGGUCAGGGGAGCAAACGGG
rnacentral:rRNA from 1 species